rnacentral:rRNA from 1 species
CAGUAACGGCGAGUGAAGCGGCAGCAGCUCAGAUUUGAAAUCUGGUCCUCCUAGCGGGGGCCCGAGUUGUAGUCUGCAGAGGAUGCCCUGGGCCAGGCGCCUUCCGAGUUCCCUGGAACGGGACGCCACAGAGGGUGAGAGCCCCGUCUGGUCGGACGCCAUGCCCAUGUAGGGCUCCUUCGACGAGUCGAGUAGUUUGGGAAUGCUGCUCAAAGUGGGAGGUAUAUGUCUUCUAAAGCUAAAUACAVGCCAGAGACCGAUAGCGCACAAGUAGAGUGAUCGAAAGAUGAAAAGCACUUUGGAAAGAGGGUUAAAUAGCACGUGAAAUUGCUGAAAGGGAAGCGCCCGCGACCAGACUUGGGCUCCGGGUCCACGGAGUGUUAUGCACUCUGUGACCUUGGGCCCAGGCCAGCAUCKGCUCGGCGCGGGGGAUAAAGGCGGCGGGAACGUGGCUCCUUCGGGAGUGCUUAUAGCCCGCCGCGUCAUGCCCUGUGCCGGGCCGAGGAACGCGCACCGCAAGGAUGCUGGCGUAAUGGUCGUCGGCGACCCGUCUUGAAACACGGACCAAGGAGUCGUCCUCGUAUGCGAGUGUUGGGGUGUCAAACCCCUGCGCGAAGUGAAAGCGAACGCAGGUGAGAGCUUUUUAUUAAGCGCAUUAUCGACCGAUCCUGAUGUUCUCGGAUGGAUUUGAGUAAGAGCAUACGGGGCCGGACCCGAAAGAAGGUGAACUAUGCCUGCGUAGGGUGAAGCCAGAGGAAACUCUGGUGGAGGCUCGCAGCGGUUCUGACGUGCGAAUCGAUCGUCAAACGUGGGCAU